rnacentral:rRNA from 1 species
GAUGAACGCUGGCGGCGUGCUUAACACAUGCAAGUCGAACGAAGCACUUUAUUUGAUUUCCUUCGGGACUGAUUAUUUUGUGACUGAGUGGCGGACGGGUGAGUAACGCGUGGGUAACCUGCCUUGUACAGGGGAAUAACAGUUGGAAACGGCUGCUAAUACCGCAUAAGCGCACAGCAUCGCAUGAUGCAGUGUGAAAAACUCCGGUGGUAUAAGAUGGACCCGCGUUGGAUUAGCUAGUUGGUGAGGUAACGGCCCACCAAGGCGACGAUCCAUAGCCGACCUGAUAGGGUGACCGGCCACAUUGGGACUGAGACACGGCCCAAACUCCUACGGGAGGCAGCAGUGGGGAAUAUUGCACAAUGGGCGAAAGCCUGAUGCAGCGACGCCGCGUGAGCGAAGAAGUAUUUCGGUAUGUAAAGCUCUAUCAGCAGGGAAGAUAAUGACGUUACCUGACGAAGAAGCACCGGCUAAAUACGUG